rnacentral:misc_RNA from 1 species
AUCUACAACAUCAUCAGCAGUUCCCUGUGAGAGGCAUAAAAACAGCACAACAAUUAAGCAUAAAUCUGAAAAGUUAUCAAAACAUAUUGGAUAGGAAAAUAUGAUGCUUUAAUUGGUUCAUGAAGAAAGAAGGCUCAUUGCAGCUAAUAUGAACCCAUUCUAAAGCUAACAUGGGAAUAUAUACCAAAUCUUAAAACAUUUAAACAUUACUAAAGAUAUCAUUCACAUUGGAAAUGUUAGAAGCAGAGUCAGUUGUAUACUACAUGCAGUAAAAGAUCCAUUCAGUUAAGGUUCAUAUAAUACUAAAAUGACAACCAGUUAACACUGGAUAAAUUUAAGCCUUAAAGUUAAAGCAUUAAAUAGGUGAUUAUUAAUGAAGAACUAAUGGUUAUUCACAUGUUUAGUUGGUUGGAUUUUGCAGACCACCAUUGAUAUUCCACAAUGCUUAUGUCAUACUAGGCUACUCUGAAAAAUGUAAUAUUACAAAUUAAUCAUGUUUCAAGGUUAGCUGGCAACUUAUGUUUAAAGUAGAAAAUGAAGGUCAAUUAUAAUGCACAUAUUUGCAAGCAAAAUGCAUUCCUCUAAUGAGUCUACUCCUGAUCAUCUCUCGUUGCAUAGAUGUGGCAACUUAUUUGCCCAAAUCAUUACAAACAAGAUUUAUCAUAAUGUGAAAUCUAGUUACAACAAAAAAAUGGGGUUGCAUUCUCAGGAAAUUUGAGCAGGGUUUACUACCAGUUAAAAGCAUUUAUCUACAUCUAUACGCUAUUUUGAUCCAAGUUAAAUAUCGAAUAUCCAAUACCUCAUAUUCUUAAUUGCUAGUAAUGACACAAAUAUAGUCAAGUUCUUCCUAUGAUACUACUAUUGCUUUUAUUUUCUCCAAGAUCUAUUGAUCUUUCACCAACUAGCCUACCCCUUGAUUGAUGCAAUUUUUACUUUAUUGGAAUUAGUUUAAUUGAGUUCUUUUGAGUUUGCAUUAGAAUACAGUCAGC